CCCCCAUUUGCCUUUUGGGCGCGUUCGAGAAGAGGUUAAGGUCGUUCUGAAAAACAGACGGUACGAAAAACGGACCAGGAAAGCAAGAAAGGCACCACCAACCACAACAUCGCCAGCGCUGAGGGUUACAGUAACGAGGCCAAAUGGGACUCUGUUGGCCUCGGCGGAGGAGAGGUCUCGUCAGGGGGAAGCAGUGACUUUACAUGUCCAGGAACUCACUGAAGAAGGCAGACAGCAUCCUGCCUUCGCACAG